rnacentral:snRNA from 1 species
AUAGUUACCUGGCAGAGGAGAGACCCCGAUCUUGAGGGGGCCUCCCAGGGCGGGGCUUAUCCACUGCACUCGGCGGUGCUGACCCUGCGAUUUCCCCAAAUGUGGGAAACUGCAUUGAC